AGGAAAUGCCCAGACAUCCUGGGGAAGAGGGAGCUCAAAGAACCCUACCUUGAGACAUCCUACGUAAAAACAAUCUCCCCUGGACCUGAGAAGGCAGGCAGAAAGGUUUGUCGAGGAAGGCUUCAUGGAAUGAUGGAAUUGUUUGAAAUCAUUGAAAAACAAAAGAAUCUUGCUCAGUAAAGCUGGAUGCAAAGGGCAUAAGAUUUCUAUCAUGUGUGAAAGCAGACAUAAAGGUCAGGAAGUUGGGAAAAUGAAGAAAAAGUAAAUUUCAAGGGAUAUACGCACCAAGAAGGGAGGAAUCAAAAAUAUAGUCUGUAUCAACCUGGAAACUGAAGACAAAAACUGAAAUUAUCUGUAAUUAUGUCCAUAUCCAUAGAGACAUUAUGCAAAAUAAUCUUAUGUUACAUAGGCACCGUUGCUGCUGUGGAAUAAGCUGUAUUUUAAAGACGUGGUGACUUUAAGUGGCUCUCACAAGGACGUUGGCUGGAAUGGAGCAUUAAAACAACUGUGAUCUUCUGGCUCUGCCCCUGUGUCUGUUUCAUAAACUGGCCUUGUCAAGAUGAAAAAUGUCAUGCCAUCCACAACCUGAAGAGGCAUGUCUGCGAAAGGACAAUAGGAACAGAGUCUGUCCCUUCUCCUCAUUACAUAUACAGAUGGAUUAUUUCUAGUACUUCUGGCCAGAUUGUUUUGUUUCAACUCUACCUGUGACUGAGCUAUGGGUGCUGCUGAAAAUUUUACACCCAUAAUACAAGCAUUCCCCCUCACGCAACAAGUCAGCACACAGUUUAUGGCAGAUAUUAAUUACGGUGGUUUUCCCUUGUCAUUGUACCUCUCUUUGACGUAAGUAAAGCCAGUGACUCAGAAUUCUGGGCCCACAUCAUGGGGAUGUGGCAGCACUAACAGAAAAAUGAACAAGCCCAGAGAUGGGAAAAAUCUGUAAGAGGACUGAUUUAAACAGGAGAAGCCAUCUGUCACCAAAGACCUUUCUGCCCCCAGGCCCACUGAUAUCAGUCAGAAAGCAAGGUCACAAGGCUCCAGGACCAAGGAUCGUCAAGAAGGAAAGUUCACAGUGGCUUAUUGACAAGAUUGAAGAAAAACUCCUCAGAAAUUAAUAACAAGCACCUGACAGAAAUGCCUGCUGUCUCCAAUGCAAGACAUCCCAUGACGUUCAGUAAUUAAUGAUGCCGAAAAGGUGGAUCAAUUCAUGCUUUGCUCUUGAACUCCCUGGGGACGCUCUUGCAACACUAUUGGUAUUCUCUGUGCUUUCGAGUAUGG